rnacentral:rRNA from 1 species
UACGUAGGGUGCGAGCGUUGUCCGGAAUUAUUGGGCGUAAAGAGCUUGUAGGCGGUUUGUCGCGUCUGCUGUGAAAAUCCGGGGCUCAACCCCGGACUUGCAGUGGGUACGGGCAGACUAGAGUGUGGUAGGGGAGACUGGAAUUCCUGGUGUAGCGGUGAAAUGCGCAGAUAUCAGGAGGAACACCGAUGGCGAAGGCGGCAUCCUGGACUGGUCCUGACACUCAUGAGCGAAAGCGUGGGGAGCGAUCCGG